rnacentral:rRNA from 1 species
GUUCCAGACUCCUACGGGAGGCAGCAGUGGGGGAUAUUGCACAAUGGGGGGAACCCUGAUGCAGCGACGCCGCGUGGGCGAGGGAGCGCCUCGGCGCGUAAAGCCCUUUCGGCGGGGGAGAACGAUGACGGUACCCGACGAAGAAGCACCGGCUAAAUACGUGCCAGCAGCCGCGGUAAUACGGAGGGGGCAAGCGUUACUCGGAAUCACUGGGCGUAAAGAGCGCGUAGGCGGGAUAGCAAGUCAGAUGUGAAAUCCUAUGGCUUAACCAUAGAACUGCAUUUGAAACUGUUAUUCUAGAGUAUGGGAGAGGUAGGUGGAAUUCUUGGUGUAGGGGUAAAAUCCGUAGAGAUCAAGAGGAAUACUCAUUGCGAAGGCGACCUGCUAGAACAUAACUGACGCUGAUGCGCGAAAGCGUGGGGAGCAAACAGGAUUAGAUACCCCUGUAA